ACGUUCAAAGUUGCAGCUGGGGUGACCAAUAUUUACUUUAUUGUGCGUAAAUGGCAGAUCAAAGAUUCCACUGACUAACAUUAACUUAUCAAUUUUGACAAAUAUGUUUUAUGUUAUAUAAUUUAUUUAUCAGCCACGUUUCCGCGGCACCCCUGAGGGGGCCCUACGGCACCCCAGGGUGCCCCGGCACCCCUGUUGAGAAACACUGCACUAAAUUAUGAUAUUCCUAUGUGUGCGCGCGCACGCGCCAAGUUUUCAAUUCAACACACUGGGACACUUUUCAGUCUUUGAGGUUGCUGGAAUCAACACAGACUACCUCCAUGCACCUUAUCAGAACACUUUGCAUGUUUUUGUAUACUUGUCCCCUUUGUGUAUUGCUGCUAAUCUUUCUCUUUCUAGGUUCUGUUGGUUGCAUGCAGAUUGUGCCAGAUGAUUUAUCUGUCUAUGGUCUAAGCAUGGGCUCUGUGCUAAUAUGCAAUUUGUGCUCUUUUUUCCCUCAGGUCAACAGCCGACAGGGUCCUUCCACAACCACAUACUUAUGCCAGUAAAAGCCACAGCUUUUCUCCUCCAAUCCAAGAAGCCUGGACUGCAGUCACCAUCUCAACACACCAACCAAGAGAAAGGCGGAUGGCUCAAUUCAAUAUGGAAAAUUGCACAAUAAAAGUUCCAGGACAUGAAGGCUGCAUACUGUGAACGUCAACCUUCAGGGCACCGUCCUGCGCAGAAGACUUUCUACCCUAAGAGGGAUGGCUGACCGCAGACACUCACAACCAGCACAGACGCCUCCAACCUCAAACCAGGCCCUUCACAGUUGCUGCACUUACCCACCUUCCCAGAGUUUUUGUGUGGUAAUGACAACUGUAAAUAUAGUAUAAAGUAAUGUAUCUAGUGUCAUGUGUAAUACAUUGUUUAAAUUGUCCAUACAUUUCAAUGACAGUAAAUAUUGGUGGACACAAUUUGACUGUGUGGCUUUUUUUUUAAUUCAUUCUCUGACUGAAAAUGCAUGGUUACAUAAUUUAUAUAUUCCACAAGACCACAAUCAGAAGAACAUUUGACAGGUUGCAUUUAUUUUCUAUGUAUGAAAAAAACAAUGGUAACAAGACAAACGUGGUUCCAAACCAAAAAGGUGAGAUGUACAGAUGAAUGCUCCUACAGAUAAUGAAAAAUAAUAAAAGUCUGCACACUGCCGGUUUGUGUGUUUUAUACCGUACUCUGUAUAAACCUUUUAUAUUGCUCUAGUGGAGCAGGGUAACCCUGGCUAAUCCUGGGUAUUGUACUGUGUAUUACAAGGUCAGCCCUGUUCAAGUGCCCCAUACUGUCUGCAGGCUGCAUGCCUGA